AUGGGACCUUGAAAGAAAAAGAACAAACCUCUUGCCAAGCAAGACUGAAAGCUGCGAAAGCGGAGAUUAAAGACAUAGAAAA